AGACUGGUGAUUCCAUACUUUUUGCCAGGGGUUGUAUAAGUCUGUGUUGUUUGGUAGACACUGAGAGGAGGACAGAGGGUUACAGGUUCAGGUGGACGAUAGAGAAAACUAGGUAAGUAGAUGAAUAACCAAAGGAGAGUGACAGGUCGGACAGAGGAAAACUGAGUCGCUGAUGUUUGGUUCUUGUUUUGUUUAUAGAUUCGAUCUCCACUGCAGGGGGAUCCAGGAAACAUCGGUUCCAGAUAGAAGGCGAGGAGGCACGAGAAGACUUAGGAGCUUGAAGGAUUAAAACUACGAUGAUCACAGAGAGAACACAAAGKUUAGGUCAGUUCACAAAGAGAGUUUUUACUAAGGCUGUGGAUUGAAUCAACAUUGUGUAAUAAACACUCAUUUCAKCUGCUUGUA